GCCGCCGAUAGCGACGGACGUGAUGAUGCCGGUGGCGUUGGCGUCGCCGCCAAGGCCGCCGCCGCCGCCGAUGCUCUGAAGCGUCACGGCGGCGC
rnacentral:tRNA from 1 species